rnacentral:rRNA from 1 species
UAGGGAAUCUUCGGCAAUGGACGAAAGUCUGACCGAGCAACGCCGCGUGAGUGAAGAAGGUUUUCGGAUCGUAAAACUCUGUUGUUAGAGAAGAACAAGGACGUUAGUAACUGAACGUCCCCUGACGGUAUCUAACCAGAAAGCCACGGCUAACUACGUGCCAGCAGCCGCGGUAAUACGUAGGUGGCAAGCGUUGUCCGGAUUUAUUGGGCGUAAAGCGAGCGCAGGCGGUUUCUUAAGUCUGAUGUGAAAGCCCCCGGCUCAACCGGGGAGGGUCAUUGGAAACUGGGAGACUUGAGUGCAGAAGAGGAGAGUGGAAUUCCAUGUGUAGCGGUGAAAUGCGUAGAUAUAUGGAGGAACACCAGUGGCGAAGGCGGCUCUCUGGUCUGUAACUGACGCUCAGGCUCGAAAGCGUGGGGAGCAAACAGG